AUUGAACGCUGGCGGCAUGCCUUACACAUGCAAGUCGAACGGCAGCAUGGAGAGCCUGCUCUCUGAUGGCGAGUGGCGAACGGGUGAGUAAUGCAUCGGAACGUACCGUGUAAUGGGGGAUAACGUAGCGAAAGCUACGCUAAUACCGCAUACGACCUGAGGGUGAAAGCAGUGGAUCGCAAGACCUUGCGUUAUACGAGCGGCCGACGUCAGAUUGGCUAGUUGGUGAGGUAAGGGCUCACCAAGGCGACGAUCUGGAGGGGGUCUGAGAGGAUGAUCCGCCACACGGGGACUGGGACACGGCCCAGACGCCGACGGGAGGCAGCAGGGGGGAAGUUUGGACAAUGGGGGCAACCCUGAUCCGGCCAUGCCGCGUGAGUGAAGAAGGCCUUCGGGUUGUAAAGCUCUUUCGGCCGGGAAGAAAUCGCACAGGCUAAUACUCUGUGUGGAUGACGGUACCGGCAUAAGAAGCACCGGCUAACUACGUGCCAGCAGCCGCCGUAA
rnacentral:rRNA from 1 species